GAGCUGUUGGAUUCGGGGCCGUAGCACUGUCUGAGAGGUUUACAUUUCUCACAGUGAACCGGUCUCUUUUUCAGCUGCUUC
rfam:Myotis lucifugus cont2.40766, whole genome shotgun sequence.